rnacentral:rRNA from 1 species
UACGUAGGCAGCAAGCGUUGUUCGGAAUUACUGGGCGUAAAGGGUGCGUAGGCGGCGCGGUAAGUCGGGUGUGAAAUCUUGGAGCUUAACUCCGAAACUGCAUUCGAUACUGCCGUGCUUGAGGACUGGAGAGGAGACUGGAAUUUACGGUGUAGCGGUGAAAUGCGUAGAUAUCGUAAGGAAGACCAGUGGCGAAGGCGGGUCUCUGGACAGUUCCUGACGCUGAGGCACGAAGGCCAGGGGAGCAAACGGG